rnacentral:rRNA from 1 species
GAGAACCCCGNUUGAGGCCCUUGGCNUUGCUCUAUGUGAUCCGCNUUUCAAAGAGUCGGGUUGUUUGGGAUUGCAGCCCAAAAUGGGAGGUAAAUUUCUUCUAAAGCUAAAUAUUGGCGAGAGACCGAUAGCGAACAAGUACCGUGAGGGAAAGAUGAAAAGAACUUUGAAAAGAGAGUUAAACAGUCGUGAAAUUGUCAAAAGGGAAAGGCUUGAAACCAGUCAUGCUGUCUGGGAUUCAGCGGGCCACUCUGGCCCGUGUACUUCUCAGAUGGCAGGUCAACGUCAGUUCUCUUCGCGUCGAAAGGCCGCGGGAAGGUAACUCGUCUUCGGGCGAGCGUUAUAGCCCGACCGGCUCUGGCGUGUGGGGGGACUGAGGACCGCAGGGCGCAUUGGGCGAAUCCCGGUCAGGCGAAUACCUUUUGGCGGACUGCACGCAGGCCGUCAGAAGGCAUAAACCUCUGCCGAGUAAGCCUCUCCUAACCCUUAGGACGUUGACGAAAUGGUUUUAAACCACCCGUCUUGAAACACGGACCAAGGAGUCUAACAUAUACGCGAGUGUUUGGGUGGCAAACCCAUGCGCGCAAUGAAAGUGAUUCAGGUGGGAUCCCCGCGAGGGGUGCAUCCAUCGACCGGUCUGGAUAUUUUAAUUGAUAGAUCUGAGUAAGNGCGNUCUGUUGGGNCCCNAANNUUGGUNAGCANUGCCU